rnacentral:rRNA from 1 species
UACGGGGGGGGCAAGCGUUGUUCGGAUUUACUGGGCGUAAAGGGCGCGUAGGCGGCCUGCUAAGUCGGAUGUGAAAUCCCCGGGCUCAACCUGGGAACUGCAUCUGUGACUGCAUUGCUGGAGUGCGGCAGAGGGGGAUGGAAUUCCGCGUGUAGCAGUGAAAUGCGUAGAUAUGCGGAGGAACACCGAUGGCGAAGGCAAUCCCCUGGGCCUGCACUGACGCUCAUGCACGAAAGCGUGGGGAGCAAACAGG